CAGUGAAAAAUUUAUUUGCAAAAUAUGGCGAUCCCUAUAGUGGUAUUUCUGAAGCUUCGCUAUGCUUGCUUUCCCACCAACAAGCAGUAAUCCAAUCACUGGUGCACCAGCGGCCAUCCACCAGGACGAUGCUGACAGCCAAAGAAAGCUCCUUCCCCACCGCUGACAGCCGAAACCGCUCUUGUGCUCAUCAAGGUUAGUCAAUGUAUAGGACUGCGCUUUUGUGUGUCCUUUCCUUCAAGCUGUCAUUCAGGAGAAGAGAGGAGCGAGGCCUCGAUCCAGACUCAGGAGGAGGAGGAGACGAGGAGCAACACCUAUUUUUAUUGUCCGUCAA